CUAGACUCAGGGUUCUGGUCAGUAGUAAUGGUUCUAGACUCAGGGUUCUGGUCAGUAGUAAUGGUUCUAGACUCAGGGGUUUUGCUGGUUGUAGUGGUUCUAAACUCAGGGUUCUGGUUGGUAGUAAUGGUUCUAGACUCAGGGUUCUGGUCAGUAGUAAUGGUUCUAGACUCAGGGUUCUGGUUGGUAGUAGUGGUUCUAAACUCAGGGUUCUGGUUGGUAGUAAUGGUUCUAGACUCAGGGUUCUGGUCAGUAGUAAUGGUUCUAGACUCAGGGUUCUGGUUGGUAGUAAUGGUUCUAGACUCAGG